CUACGGAGGGUGCAAGCGUUAAUCGGAAUUACUGGGCGUAAAGCGCGCGUAGGCGGCUUGGUAAGUCGGAUGUGAAAUCCCCGGGCUUAACCUGGGAAUUGCAUUCGAUACUGUCAGGCUAGAGUGUGGUAGAGGGAAGUGGAAUUUCCGGUGUAGCGGUGAAAUGCGUAGAUAUCGGAAGGAACACCAGUGGCGAAGGCGGCUUCCUGGACCAACACUGACGCUGAGGCGCGAAAGCGAGGGGAGCAAACGGGAUUAGAUACCCUAGUAGUCC
rnacentral:rRNA from 1 species